rnacentral:rRNA from 1 species
UAAUACCAGCUCUCCGAGUGGUGGGGAUGCUUAUUGGGCCUAAAGCAUCCGUAGCCGGCUUGGCAAGCCCCCCGUUAAAUCCAACGAUUCAAUCGUUGGACUGCGGGGGAUACUGUCCAGCUAGGGGGCGGGAGAGGCCGACGGUAUUCUCGGGGUAGGGGUGAAAUCCUAUAAUCCCGGGAAGACCACCAGUGGCGAAGGCUGUCGGCUAGAACGCGCACGACGGUGAGGGAUGAAAGCUGGGGGAGCGAACCGGAUUAGAUACCCGGGUAGUCCCAGCUGUAAACGAUGCAGGCUAGGUGUUGGAACGGCUACGGGCCGUUUCAGUGCCGCAGGGAAGCUGUUAAGCCUGCCGCCUGGGGAGUACGGCCGCAAGGCUG